GUGACUGGUGGUGGAAGCCAGCUUCUCCUCAUCUGUGGCAUGGUCUUCCUGUGGAGGUAGGGAGGCGGGGUCGUCUGCAUCCUGACAUGCAAAGAAGCAGGGGGAGUGCUGGACCCUCUCCUAGAUAACUUGAGGCGAAAGGCGGACUACGUACACCCUGAACCGCACGCCAGUCAGUCACAGGGUACAUAGCGACAUCACCACUGAGCAGGAAUCGAUCCCACACUCCCCGCACCAAAGUCAGGAAUCCACAUGGAACUGGGAAUGGAAUAUGGUGGAUUGUUGUGUUGUCCCUGUACUUACAAAAAACAACAAAGAGUGGAGACACCUCUGGACUUCCUGUGACAUAUGAGAAUACAGCUUAAGUCAUGGUCUGCAGAGAAUUUCUACAGUAUGAAAGAGAUCUCAUUCUUCAGAUCCCAGAUACGAGAUGGUGUGCACACCUGUCCAUCAUCAUCUCAGACGCUUCAUAUUCACUGGUACAAGUGACGAGACAGACAAAAGGCACUGACAUAACAGAGCAGUUGGCCACAUCCAACACAAACCAAUCCUCAGAAGCAAAAAAAAAAAUCAAAACAAGUUCAACUCAACCACUGCGC